rnacentral:tRNA from 1 species
CCAAAGUGCAAAUUUGGAGAAGCACCCUAAAAGGUGCCGGGGCUUCUCCCGUUU